CAGUGCCGCGGGAAUACAGAGGGUGCGAGCGUUAAUCGGAUUUACUGGGCGUAAAGCGUGCGUAGGCGGCUUCUUAAGUCGGAUGUGAAAUCCCUGAGCUUAACUUAGGAAUUGCAUUCGAUACUGCGAAGCUAGAGUAUGGGAGAGGAUGGUAGAAUUCCAGGUGUAGCGGUGAAAUGCGUAGAGAUCUGGAGGAAUACCGAUUGCGAAGGCAGCCAUCUGGCCUAAUACUGACGCUGAGGUACGAAAGCAUGGGGAGCAAACAGGAUUAGAUACCCGCGUAGUCCCUGUCUCUUAUACA
rnacentral:rRNA from 1 species